GUAGGAAUUACUUAUCUUAGAGAUAAUGAUACUUAUAAAUUUUUUUUGGUUUACUCGUUGGAAUAAACUAGUCUCCAACACUAAGAAAGAGAAAUUGAGGGUUGACCUACAUGGGAGGAAUAGAUUGUUGCUAUAUCAUAAUAACUCAUAUGCUAGUUACAUUAAAUUGGAUAAUGACCUAACUACUUGGGGAAGUAGAGCAUUAGGCUUGAAUGUGCUUGUUUUUGAGUCAUUAAUAUAUUAUAUAUUACUAAUUAACGACAAGUUAAUUUAGAUUCUAACAUUUUUAAUCCCAAGCACAUUAGCAUAACAUUUUAUUAUUUUAAUCCCAAGCACCCGCUAAUAUUUCUUUUAUAUAAGAAAAAACAUGGGACACCAAAAAAAAAUCGAAAAAGAAAAAAAAAAUAACUAACUUUUUCAUUUAAAUAAAAAAAAAAGGGAAAUUCUCACUGGUACCAUCCAAUUAUCGACUUUUCUCAAUGGUAGGCAUUAUUCUUUUACCUUCCCAAUGAUACCACUAUGUUUAUGACUUCUUAAUUAAAUUAAUUUUUUUAUUAAAAAUAAAUUGAUAUUAUUAAUGGCUAUAAAGUAGAAAUACAAUCCUACCCAUUAUCUUAACUUUUUCUCCUAUAUUUCAACAUUCCGAUGAUUGAUCACUUUCCAAUUAAGUGAGGAAGGUCCAAUUUUGAUGAGGAUGAAUUUUUAGUGUUUGGGUAGUGCGUAUGACAGCCUAAGUAUUAGUUAGGGUAAAUAUAUAUUUUUUUUUAAUAUUUAUGAGUUACAUUUAAAGUUUAGCCUAAUUUCUAUUAACAAUAAAACACUUUAAAUAAAAAGUCAUAAAUAUAGUGGUAUUAUUGGGAAGAUAAUAAAACAAAUUGUCUACAGUUGAGAAAAGUCAAUAGUUGGAUGGUACUAGUGAGAAUUUCCCAAAAAGGGAAAUAGAAAAUAAUUUUUUAGAAAACAAAAUGUAAAAACAGUCUUCUCUCCCUAUUAGUUUUAUUUUCUACUUCAUAUACUAUCCCACGCUAUCCCACAUAUGGUAUGAUAGCACGUAUUGGUACAUGUAAGGCUAAUUAUCCUAACAAGUAAGGACGGAGAAAAAUCUCGUCCUAAUCUAGAUUCACGCACGGCCGGUUAGCCAUUCAUAAGACUUGGCGAAGAAAUUAAGGAGAAGCACAAGAAUUUACUACUAACAAAAACUCCAUAUCACUCCUCUACAAUCCAAUUUUCAACUUUUUCUUCUAUUGUUUGGGCCUUUUCCCCUAUCAAAAUUUUGAGACCCUGCUUUCGUAGAUUGAAGCAUGUUUCUAUCUUGCUCUCCUACUACCUCUCUUUCACCAAACGAUUCUUGAGUUCCUAAAACUCCAAAAGCAAAAUUCAAGAAUAAAAUUACAAACCUAUCUACAUCACUGCCCCAUUAAGACUCUUAUACACUUAAAUAAAACAAUUUGGCAAUGAAAUUGGUAUAGACGUAUAUCAGAGGUAAUGCUAACACCACUAAAUGAUCACUUUGUUUGUAGAGUAACUAGUAAAUGCUUUAAUUACAGAAAUGAAGAAGGAAUUAGAAGUUACCGCAAUGCCAUAACGAAGAAAGACGCCAAGAGGUGGCAGCAAAAUUGCUAGUAUGACUUCCACAAACGUUUCUGAUCCCAUCUUUUUCUUUGAUUCUUAUAUCUUGCUACUUCUCUUCUUGCUCUUCUUUUAUGGAUUUCUUAGCGUGUGUGAAUUGUGAUUUCUUUCAACUUUCAACCUUUCAAUUUUCUAAA